AGAAAGUCCAGUGUGGUCGCAUGAUGGAGGAGAAGAAGAAGAAAACGAUGAAGAAGCAGAAGAAGGAGGAGGAGGAGGAGGACAUCCAGGACUUCCAGCAGGCCUCAACACCACGAGUCGUGAAAGGACACCGCAGGGGUACAGCGUGGGCGAAGACAAUACGCAAAAGAACCAGGAAAUAACCCCAAACAAUCCAAAAUCCAAAAUGUUUUUGUCAUUGCAACUAGCUGCUGAUGUGUUUGGGGCCAACUCAUGGAAAGUCAGCAGGGAAGCCCAAUGUAAUAUUAGAUGGCACUCAUAUAGGAAAUAACCUCAUAAUACACUAUACCAGAGGUCAUUUGCAGCUUUCGGGUUUCAGAUAAGGGUUUCAAGCCAAGGUUAUGGUUUCAAGCCAAAGUUAGGGCUUAAAAAUAGGGUUCCAAGCCAUGAUUUGGCUUUUAAAUAAGAGGUUUCAAGUCAGUGUUUCGGGUUACAAAACGCGUUAGGAUUUCAAAUUCGUAGUGUUUCAAAUGAGGGUUUCAAGGUAGAGUUUGGGCUUAAAAGCAAAGUUUCAGACCAUGAUUAGUUGGGGUUUUAAAUUAGGGUUUCAAGCCAGGGUUAGGAUUUUAAAACCGGGUUAGGGUUUCAAAAUAGGCUUUUAAAUUGGGAUUUCAAGCUGUAAUAUUAGACUUUUAUCUUUUAUACAACUAUUUCCAAUUUUUUCCCCCGGAUGAAUUUGUUCACUUACAAUACUUUUAAUAUUAUGAUAAUAUUAGCAUGUUUGAUACAUAUGCAUAUUGUUACUUUUUCCAUUGUUUAUGCUUUGUGCGGUAUCCCUGAGUGCCCAAAAAGACAGACUGUGUAAUAUAAUGUAAUGCAUUAUUCUUAUUAUUUAGACCACCAGAAAAAAGAAAAAAAAAAUACAUAUGAAAUAAGCUACAAAUUCAAAAUGAGCAUUUAUCAUUAAUAGCAUUAUGAAUCCGAAUGAAAAAGAAUCCAUUUGAAGUGGCAGUAACGUUUGGUAGACGCGGAGCGCGCUGUGUUGUGCUUGCCGGCUGUCGGUCUGGUGUGAGUAGAGACGCUCCACGCGGCGAGCUAUCUGGCCGUGCUAUCCUAUCGGUGGCCCACGCUGCCUUACGUGGCGUCUGGCCUCCGCUGACACGUUCCAGAUGUUGCUGAGCUGAAAGCGCGCCGCUCAGCCUCGCCGCCGCUGAAGCAAAACUCGGGACAAGUUAAUCCGGCAGAGCUCGCCUUUAUCAAACGAAACCCAGCAUCCUCCUCUUUCUACAACCCCCCCCCCCCCGGCCUCCGCACCCAAUGACUCACAUACACCCCCCCAAGAGUCCAAGCCCCCCUGUACAGUGAUGGAUGAGCUACUUUGCAAGCACUUGUUCAAGCGUCCAUUUGUUUCUGUGCGGAUUAUAAACGUCUCCAUUGCUCAAAGUGUCCUCAUCCACUUG